rnacentral:piRNA from 1 species
UAAUCUACUGACAUAGAUAUGCCUUUCCACUG